CGCGUAGGCGGUUUUUUAAGUUCAGAUGUGUAAUCCCCGAGCUUAACUUGGGAACUGCAUCUGAGACUGGAAGGCUAGAGUACUGGAGAGGGUGGUGGAAGUUCCUCGUGUAGCGGUGAAAUGCGUAGAGAUGAGGAGGAACACCAGUGGCGAAGGCGGCCACCUGGACAGUAACUGACGCUGAGGCGCGAAAGUGUGGGUAGCAAACAGGAUUAGAUACCCUGGUAGUCCACGCUGUAAACGAUGAACACUUGGUGUGGAGGGAGUUGACCCCUUCGUGCCGGAGCUAACGCGUUAAGUGUUCCGCCUGGGGAGUACGGUCGCAAGGCUGAA
rnacentral:rRNA from 1 species